AGACUUUGCUGCUCUAUUGCCAAACUACUCAUAUCCCCCUGUUACUGUGAAACUUGGUGAAAUUCCUCAGGGAUUUUGAGACAUCAAAGCAACCGAAUUUUGCUCUUGUUGCCCAGGCUGGAGUGCAGUGGCACGAUCUUGACUAACGGCAACCUCCACUCCCGGGUUCAAGCGAUUCUCCUGCCUCAGCCUUCCUGAGUAGCUGGGAUUACAGGCAUGCGCCACCACGCCCGGCUAAUUUUGCAUUUUUAGUAUAGACGGAGUUUCUCCAUGUUGGUUAGGCUGGUCUCGAACUCCCGACCUCAGAUGAUCCGUCUGCCUCGGCCUCCCAAAGUUGCUGGGAUUACAGGCGUGAGCCACUGCACCCGGCAAGAAUAUAAUCUUAUCAGAUCAGGACCCAACCCUUGUGACCUCAUUUAACCUUAAAUGCCUUCUUGUAGGGGAAAUUCUCAAAUAUAGUCACACUAGAGGGUCUAGGAUCAAUGGAUGAAUUCUGGGAAAGAAGACACAAGUCAGUCCAUAGAGGGGCCCUAGAAUGUAUAUUACUUAGUUACCCUAAAGUUCUCACUUUGCUCAAAAUAAGACUUUUAUACUGGGAGGAACAAAACUACUUGGAAGUUAAUAAAAAAUAACUUCCAACACAAUAAUUUUUGUUUCCAGAAGAGUACUCUAUAUUCAUUGAGAUAUAUGUGACGUAUGUGAGAGAGAAAUAAUAUGAUCAAUAAAGUAAUUCAAAUAAAAAAUAAAAAUAUCUAUCAUCAGUGAUAGAGAAUAAAUGCAAAUAUUAAAUUUAUACCUUUUUUAAAAAACAGGUAGAGUAAAAUGAUUCAAAGAUAUUUUGUGUCAAAUUGUUUAAUAAAUAUGGCAAUGGGGAUAAAAUAAUUCAUUUCUAUUUCACAUUAAUUUCUCUAAUAUGGAUAAUCCUCUAUUAUUUUAAAUAUCAAACUUUUCACAAAUGAAAGAUUCAAUCUUUAAUUAGAAUUUUAACUUACAAAAAAUACUUUUUUCAGGUAAUAAAUAAAAUUUGGGAGAAAAUAAAGUAUAAUGCCAAGAAACAAAAAGUGUCUACCUUAUUAAUAAAGAAAAUAAAUAAAUGAAAACUUUUCAAACUGAUCGAGCUCAACUUCCUCAUAUACGCACACAAAAAAUAAACAAGAGUAGCUAUUUCCAAACUAAAUAAAUAAUCUACUAAUUCCUAUUCAGUUGUACUCCCUAAAUGUCAAUAAUCACACUAGAUAGAAACAAACAUUGACUCUAGACCAAAAUUGGUGAUAUCACAAAGGUGAUUCUGAUAGAACUAUAUAAUUCUGUUUGAUACAAUGGCUCUACACACCUUAUGUCAGACAGCUAUAUUAUUCAUUGAAAAUGAGAUAUUUAUAUUGUUUGGCAAUAACAAAACAACUAGGCUUCCUAGUUUUUGUUUGCAACUAUGAUUGCAGUUGAUUAUAAAAAAUCAUAUAAUAAUACUAUAUGGAUAUAUAUUUGAAUACAUAUUUAUGUACAGAUGUGGCAUAUGCAGAUAAGAACACAUAGGGACGCCUUCAUACAUUCACACAGUGGCCACGGCAAUCUUUCUGUUCUGAGCACCAAAAACAGUUAUUGGCACACAGUAGGAACUAAAUAAAAUAAGUGAAUGAAUAAAUGACUGAAUAUGUGUAUAUAUCCAAACAGAGAAAUUAAUGCUGAAAAAGAAGAACCAUAAAUCACUUAAUGGAGAGAGAGAGAGAGAUUUGUAUUUGGAGCUUCAAGUGAGACAAGAUGUGUUGAAAUUAGCUAGGGACUCCCUAGAAGAUGGUGAAAGACAAUAAAUAAUAAAUCGAUACAUAAACUUGUUUUCAGUUAUUGAGUGAUCCAGAACUACCACCACCAAAAACAAAUAUUUUUAUUAAGUACAUUCUAUAUACCCAGCACUGUUACAAGUAUUAUGUAUUCAUUAUCAUCUCUAAUCAUGACAACAGUUCAAAGAGAAGAGAUAAGUUACUGGAAUCAUCCCCCCUUUUUACAAAUAAAGAAAUCAAGGCAAGGAGAUGGUAAGUAACAUUUUCACAGUCACAGAGCUACUAAAUAGUAGAACAGUAAUUCAAAGAUUGACAGCCUGACUCUGUAAUCCGGAUUUUUCCCCAUAUAAUUUUUCAUCACAUUGUUAUCGAUUCUUUGCCAAAGAGAAAGCAGGUAUACUAGAGAAGGCAGUAGAAGGUAAAAGGAAAGGCAGGGGCCCUUUUGAAGAUUAAGCAGAUGGUGCAGAGCUGAUUCUAUAAAAACUUAGCAGUCUAACCUUGGGUUAGUAAAUGAACUUUUCUGGAUCUCAGUGUCCUCAUUAGUGAAAUGAAGAUUUUGAGAUAGAACAGUGAAUUAGAUCAUCGGGACCCAAUCUGGAUGAUGAUAAAAGUCAAAAUUCUUGCAUGGCCUGUUAUGCCCUACAUAAUCCUCUCUUCAUACUGCUCUAUGACUUCAUCUUUUCUACCAGGGCUGGCCUCAGAGGUUUGUGACCUGUGCAGUUGCACAAGGGUUGUGCUUUAAAAGUCUCCCUGCUUGGUUUAAUGCUCUGCUGUCAUUAUCUUGAAAUUCUUAAUAAUUUCUGAACAAGGCAUUCUGCAUUUUUAUUUUACAUUGAGUCUACAAAUUAUGUAGCUGGUCCUGCCUAUUACUCUCCACUUUCUCCCUGGCACAACUACCAGCGACUAGCUGGAGUUGUAUAUGUCCCAUAGGGUCUUGGAUUUAGCUGUUCCUUGUUAUUAGAAAUACACCCUCUUUCCCGGAUUCAUUUGACUCAUUAUUUUGCCAUUUUCAGGUCUUCUUUCAAAUUUCAGCUAUUAUGGCAACUAUAACUACCCCAUUCAAUACUACAACCACUCCACCCCAAAACAGCACUAUCAGUUUGCUUUGCUCUGCUUUUAUUUUUCCACAGCAUGCUGCAAUGCCUAACUAUAAUGAAAUAAUUAGCUAAAUACACUUACUUAUGUGUUUUAUGUGUGUGUGUGUGUGUGUGUACACACAUAAUUUGCUUCUUUAUUAUGUUGAUUGUCUCUUCCUUAUACAAUGUUUACAUUUCACUAUGGCUAGGAUCUUUCUUCUCCUCACUGAUUUAUCCCAAGCACUUAAAACAGUGUGAAGUCAAUAGUAAAUAAAUACCAGUUAAAUGGUUAAUAGCUUUAACAGUUUAUAUGAGGAUAAAACAUUGUGUCUAAAAGAAACCUAAUGUCUAAUACAUUACAUGGUCAAAGCAAAGAAAAAUUAUUUAUGUAAUUACUACGUAGGGAAUUCCACACCCCAAAGUUCAUACUCCACAUCCUCUGUGACUCUUGAGACCACAAGACUGCUGGCAAAGGCAAAACAAUCACUUUUACAUUCAUUCCAAUAGAACUAAAAAUGUGAGACUCUUAGGAUAGUCAUAUCUUUUCUCUUGCUUUUCCCUAAUAUCAUCAAUAGUAAAGAUUUUUAAACACAUCACCAAGUAAGCUAGGUGUUUGCUUCAGGAGUACAAGAUUUUGGAAACUUGCAUUCCUAUCUAUAUAGGAAUGGAAAAACCACUCUUAGCAGAAGCAACAGAAAAGUAAUUAAAAGAAAAGCAGAAUUAUUAUUUCCUACAAUCAGCUAAACACAAUAAAUAAAACAGUAAUUAAAAGUAACUAAGUCAGGAAAAUUACCCCGGUACAGUCCACCUGUGGGUGGCUGGGACUCCACACAGGGGAACAUUCCAGUGCCAUGUUUCUUCUCCACCUUGAGGAAGCAAAAAUUAUUCAUGUGUAUGAAAUGAUUAAUGCAUUGAAGUCUUUUAGACUUGACAUUUUCAACCAAAUCCAUCAUUCUGAGCCUUUCUCGUUCUCUAAGAGAGACUCAGAAUGUACAAAAUGUUUGAAAAGCCUGCUUAGACUAAAACAGUAAUUUUCUACUCAAGUUCAGAAAUGAUAAACCCAAGCAUUUCUGAUAAUGACAAACUACAAUACUAUCACAAGUAUUGCUCACCUAAAAACGAGUUUCUGCUUUAGAAAUUUCCUACUAUCAUAUAUAAAUCUAGCUUUGAAUUUACUUCAAAUUAAAGUGGUUAUAUUUAUUAAAAACUUGCAAAAUCACAGUGAUUAUCCACGUUUACCUUCUUUCUUUCUAAAAAUCAUUAGAAUCUUAGCAUUGAUAAAGAUUUCAAAAUUCAAAGACUGUUAGAAUUAUAUUGGUGCUUCUGUUUUAGGUUCACUCAGUGGCUUUCCAUCAUGGUCAUUAUCAUGAAGACCACAAUGUAUUGAAGGAUGAAAACCAACACUGCCUUCCCCCACUCCUGUGGCAGACAUAACUAAGCAAUCAUCAUGUUUUCAAACUCUUUAUCAAAAUAGUGUUCCAGUUAAGACCAAUUAGACAAGGGUUGGCAUAAGAGGAGAGGUAUUUAAAAUAUUUGGUAACUAGUACAGCACAAGUUCUAGUCAGUUAAAAUGGACCUCCAAUCCAUUAGAAGGGACACUAGCUAGUGGACUAGACUGGUGCAUUCCUGCAGAAUUCAGAAUUAAGCGUAAGAUAUACAAUCAAUUUUGCUGUCUUUGUUGCAAAGAACCAGAUAAAGGGGUGACUUCUCAAUUUUAUCACUUCUUCUUUACUGCAGUAUGUACACUUGCUGAAAAAAUACUUGCUACAGUGAUACACUAAAUGCAGUGCUUAAUGGCACAGUGACUAUGUUUCAAUAGCACAAAUAACAUAGAUAAACCAGAGUUGCUACUUGCCUUGGCAUACAGUAGUUGUUUAAUACAUUUGCAAAAUGUCUUCAGUUUUACAAUCUAACAUAUAAUGCACAUCCAAAGGACAAAAAAAGUUAAAAUUAUUGUGAUAGAAAUUUGGCUAAAGCAAAACCGUUUUGUCAGGAUUUCAUUUCCAUACUUUACAUCUAUAGUCUCCAAAGUCAACAGACAAAAUAAUGCAAGUUUAAUCUAAUAUUUCAGGCUAGAGUAAAAAAUUGUAGAUUGUCAGAAAGGCAAAACUUUAAACAUUUUCCAGAAUUUAAUAAAUAGUACCUUAGAGAUUAUAUAGCUGUCCUUUCGUAUUAUUUGGUCAACAUUUAAAAAUAUAACAUAAUUGGCCAUAGCAUCUUUCCUUUAGCUAUUUAUAUUACACAGAGUUAUUUUAAAAGCAAAAAUAUAUAUUUUAAAAAAGAGAUUAUGAAAAAUAUGUAGAGAAGUAGGAGAAAAAAAGGAGAAAACAGAAUUAUGGAAGUCCAAGAAAGAGGGUAUUAAAGAGAUAAUUAUUUCAUUUUCUGGCAAUAUGUGACACACUGUAUUCUGGUUUCUGAAGAUAGGGAGGAAAUGAGUUACAAAAGGUCCCUUUCCUACUGCUUACUUUCUCCUGCUGAGAGAUCAACAACAACAACAAAAAGUAAACAUAGACAUCAACAGUUCAGAAAACUUUCAAUGCUGACAUGCCCCAAAGACAGUAAAACAUAGGUAAUGUAAUAGAGGGUGAUGAGAAAUUACUUUAAUAGGGGAAGUCAGGGAAGACGUUGCUAAGGAGUUCACAUCCAAAUGAUGAGAAGCCAUGCACAGACCUGGGGAAUAACUUUUUAGACGGCAGUAAGUACAUAGUCCUUGAAGGAAUGAGGAACUGUACCAAAUGAAACAGAGGCAUCACACAUACUGAGGAGUAAAACAUGACUAGUAAAUUUUGAAAUAAAAAGUUAUGCAUUUUUAUAGCGAUGGGAUUGGAUACGGAUAAAAUUUCAGAAAAUCUAUCAAAGAAAGAAAGAACAACAGUUGGGUGGUAGAUCUGAGCUAACGUACAGCUCAACAACGUGACAGUAUCUCGGUUGGUUGCUCAACAUUUACCAAAAAGAAGACUUAAUGUUCAUAGACUAAAACUAUUUGAACCCAUUUGGUUGAUAAAUCCUAGAAAUGAAAAAAGAGGUACAGAGAAAGUGAAUCUAGACUACUGUUUCUCAACAUGAGAACGAAUAAAAUAAAUUAGUGUAAAAGAGGUUAGCCUUACUCCAUAUAUAUUACCAUGAAAGUCCCUAAAAACUGAUCAUGAGAGCUUCCGCAACUUUAUCAGUUUUCCCAUGGUUAACAUAUUUAUUGCAUUUUCCUGAAGCAAACUAGGAAUAAAACUAUUAUAAGACACAAAAUAAAUAAUCAACAACCAUGCUAGCUGAUUGCUCCCGAGAUAAGGGUCCUAGAAUGAAAUUGUGAAAGUCAAUCAUCUCUCUCCUAUGGUAUGGGUAGAGGGCAAUGGAGAGACAUCGUUGCUGUGUUGAAAGUCCAGGCAGAGGGCUUGUGAGCCAGUCAGUCCCAGUUGCUUGAGGAGCAGGAUGGAAGGUCAAUAGCUAUUUUGCAAAAUAUUCCAGGAGCCAGAAGUAUCCCAGGAAGGUUUAUAUUUCAAAAUAACUUGAGAGAAGUUUUAAAAUUACCUUCCCUCUUGAUUUUCCAUUAGUUCUGUGGAGAAGGUAACUUUAUCUUCCCAUUUCAGACCUUGGGAAAUCUGAAGGAAAUUCCCUGCCCCUUUCAAUAUUAUGAUUAAAUUUUGAGUAGCUUCUGUGGCCGUAGAUGAAAGAGGUAGGGGACCUGAAGUGGGCACUGAGCACACUCUCACUUUCUAACACUACAGAGCAGUGUUCUUGGCUCUGUCCAUUCCACCCUAAUAUUGUGGCCAUGCUGUAAUUGGCAAUCUAGUCCAUUGCUUUUAGUUGAACGCUGGGCAGCUGUAUGCUAGUAAAAUGGUUCUUGGGUUAAAAAAAAAAAAAAAAAAAAAAAAAAAGUCCUGAUGUGUAGCAUUUGCAAAUUUCUAUGGUUUAAAGAUUUUCAUUAUAAUUUAUUUCAAAUGACCAACAGGGCACUGUUUCCUGAGGAACUGUGGGAGAGAUCAUGAGAAUUGGGAAAGAUGCAAAAAAUAAACUAACUAGCUGAAAUAAACUGGUUUGUGCUGGCGUGUGUGUGUGCGUGCGUGUGUGUGUGUGUGUGUGUGUGUUUCCUUCUAAAGUGGUAGAACAAAACACUAGUAGGGGUUUUGGCAGGUAGCUGAAAACAGAAAACAGUUAUGCAUUAGAGAUAGGGGUUAAAGCUUGUCCUUAAUUAGGCCUUGGUCCAAAGAGAAGUCUCUCUAAAAGCAGAUAAUAGCAAGAAAGAGAUAAUGGCAAAAGGUGGUUCAUAGGAAACUCCAGUUAUUAGAAAAUUGAGUAUAGUGUGUGUGUGUGCGUGUGUGUGUGUGUGUGUGUGUGUUAUGGAAAGGAUUAAACCAUACAGAACUGUUAUGGCAGGAUAUAAAAAUAAAACAAAACAAAUACUUAACCAUUCAUGUCCCCUGUGCUAGACAUUUUGCUAAGCAGAUUGAAUCAAUUGUUCCAGUCUAUCUUACAGAACACUAAUAUUCGGUAGAUAUUUUUAUAGAUGAGGAAACUAGAGCUUAGAUAUUUAAAUAAUUUGUUAGUUUUUAUAGCAGUAUCAAGCCAAGCAAUUUUAAAUGCCAGUUUCUCCUAUUAUAUUGCCAGCUGCAUGCAGCAGGGUCCGAGGCUUUCUUAUUUACCACUGUGUCCCCUGCGAUUAAUGUAUAAAAGGUACUCAAAAUGUAUUUGCUGAAAGUUGAAUGUUUCUUGUUAUAUUAGUGAGACCAAGCUGGCUAUAUUCUAUAUUAGUCAGUUAAUCUUUUAGUAUCAAAUUAAAAUAUAAGGAAUAACAAAUUAAUAUUCACAGGACACUUUAUUUAAUAAAUGAUACUCAACUUAUUGAGGUAAGUGUAUUGAAGGAGUUGCAAAUUCAUUCAAGAGAAUUCUUCCUGGAGACUGUGAAACUAAUAUGACAGCAUUUUCUUGGACUAAUGUGUUUAAACAGUGCGGAAACCUAAGAAUCAACUUUUCCACAGAUCUCUCUAGUUCUGGAAAGACUGAAUUUGCAGCAUCUGCUGAAAUGAGGUCUUCAGCUCCCGGACAUAGAAGAGCAAGACAUGUAUGGAAAAAUGCUAUCGUGGGAGGAGACAAGGGUAUGAUUCAAGUGCUGGGAUGUUGUUAAAGAAAAAAGACACGAUAGUGAUCUGAAAGAAAAGGGUCAGACAAAGAAGACUGAUGAUAAGCAAUAAUUUAAUUCACCUAAAGCUCAGACAAGCCAUGAAUAGAUCUAUCAAAAUCAAAUCAGUAACUGACAUUUGUACAAAACAUGCAAUUAAUCCAAAGGUUUAUAGCCUUUCAAGAUAAAUAACUGUCAUGACGGAAUCCAUCCUUUACUGAAGGAGUGUUUCAUCUGAAAGACACAGAGGCUUUUACAGCAUUGCUGAAAGUUCAGCAGAAAAUACAGCAGAAUUUUCAGCUUUGUUGUAAAAGGUAACACAGUAUCAAUGACUGGUUUCCAAGAAGUGUGUCAAUUUUUUUUUAUUACUUUCAUGUAAACUAUAAGUUGAAUACCAUUGAUUUAUUAGGUAAAAAUGCUGUCAUGUAAAUUACAAUAAUAAACACAACCUAUCAACAUAAAAGCAAUGCCAGUAUUUCUUCUCCAAAUAUCUUCAUUUGUUUCAAAAAGUCAUUCACAUAAAAUGGGCAUGUUGGCUCAUAUUGAGUAUAUUUUUCUUAGAAAAUACAAUAAUGGUAUUCUAAUGAACAAAUU
rnacentral:lncRNA from 10 species